ACGCUCGACACCUACGGGACGCAGCAGUGGGGAAUAUUGCACAAUGGGGGAAACCCUGAUGCAGCGACGCCGCGUGAAGGAAGAAGUAUUUCGGUAUGUAAACUUCUAUCAGCAGGGAAGAAAAUGACGGUACCUGAGUAAGAAGCACCGGCUAAAUACGUGUCAGCAGCCGCGGUAAUCUGAGCGGGCUGGCAAGGC
rnacentral:rRNA from 1 species